rnacentral:rRNA from 1 species
UACGUAGGGGGCAAGCGUUGUCCGGAAUUAUUGGGCGUAAAGAGCGUGUAGGCGGCCCGGUAAGUCCGCUGUGAAAGUCGGGGGCUCAACCCUCGAAAGCCGGUGGAUACUGUCGGGCUAGAGUGCGGAAGAGGCGAGUGGAAUUCCUGGUGUAGCGGUGGAAUGCGCAGAUAUCAGGAGGAACACCGAUGGCGAAGGCAGCUCGCUGGGACGGUACUGACGCUGAGGCGCGAAAGCUAGGGGAGCAAACGGG